rnacentral:rRNA from 1 species
AAGCCCGAGUAAACGGCGGCCGUAACUAUAACGGUCCUAAGGUAGCGAAAUUCCUUGUCGGUUAAAUACCGACCUGCAUGAAUGGCGUAACGAGAUGGGAGCUGUCUCAACCAGAGAUUCAGUGAAAUUGUAGUGGAGGUGAAAAUUCCUCCUACCCGCGGCAAGACGGGAAGACCC